CCUAUGAUCAAGGAUCUUCUCCGCAUCGGGUCCCAAUUUAUUGGGUACCGUGAAUAUGCCGCCAGAGCCGAAGAAAAACUUUCAGAGGCCAACGAACGUGUCGACGCACUUGCUCAAAAACUCGAGCAAAGUGAGGCGGCUCGCAAGAAAGCUGAACUUGCUGCUAGCAAAGCCAAGGCCGAGGUUGAUGAAGCCAAGGUGAAAGCUGCUAGUGUCGAGGAACUGCAGAGAAGGCUCAAAGAUGCCGAAUCUGCCUUAGAUGAGCAGAAAACUGCACAAACUGUGCGUGAACAAGAGAUCAUCAAGCGUCUGAAGUCGCAAAGUCGACGUACGCUGACCCAAACAAACCAAGAUUUUGAUCUGGAGAAUCCCGUCAAUGACCCUCUCCUUGAUGCACUUUCUCUUCUGGAGUUCCAUGGGCGCGAAAUUCGUGAAGGCGUGGCCAAUGCCAGUGCGAGUUUGUCGGCGUUGUUCCCCUACUUCUUCCCGAAGAAAGAGGAACCUUCGACUUUCCUUGCCCUUGCCAAGCUUUUCAAUUCGUCGGAAGACCUGGGAUUGAAG